GGAGGGCUUUUCGGAGCGCUAGGAAAAUGAUUACCCCGAGAAAACAAGCAGGAGAAAAACCAAGGGAGAGACAAAGAAGCCAGAAACAGAAGAGGGUAAGCCGAGGAAGACUGGCUGGGGAAAGUGCGGAAGGACCUUGAAAAUGCAGAGGCUGAAGAAGAGGGUCCCUGAUGGUUCAAUCACAAGUCUCUCCUGCUCCACUAAGUUUCUGAUUGGCUAAGGCUGGGAGGAGAUCAAGUCAUAGCCAAAUUAAUCUUUUUGUUGGUGA